rnacentral:misc_RNA from 1 species
GAACGCACAUUGCGCCCUCUGGUAUUCCGGAGGGCAUGCCUGUUCGAGCGUCAUUAUCACCCCUCAAGCUCGGCUUGUUGUUGGAUGCAGCGCUUAUCCCGCUCCUCCCAAAGAUAAUGACGGCGUCUGCGACGACUCCUGUACACUGAGCUUUCGGGCACGUACACGGCUAGAAGUCCAGACCCGGUCGCCGUCCCCCCCGCGGGGACACCCAUUACCACAAGGUUGACCUCGGAUCAGGUAGGAAUACCCGCUGAACUUAAG